AGAGUUUGAUCCUGGCUCAGGACGAACGCUGGCGGCGUGCUUAACACAUGCAAGUCGAACGAGACGAUUGAAAGCUUGCUUUUGAAAGUCGAGUGGCAAACGGGUGAGUAACGCGUAGACAACCUGCCGUAAAGAUGGGGACAACAGUCCGAAAGGACUGCUAAUACCGAAUGUUGUAAAUCUUCUGCAUGGGAGACUUACUAAAGGUGGCCUCUACUUGUAAGCUAUCGCCUUACGAUGGGUCUGCGUCUGAUUAGCUGGUUGGUGGGGUAACGGCCUACCAAGGCAACGAUCAGUAGCCGGUCUGAGAGGAUGAACGGCCACAUUGGAACUGAGACACGGUCCAGACUCCUACGGGAGGCAGCAGUGGGGAAUCUUCCGCAAUGGGCGCAAGCCUGACGGAGCAACGCCGCGUGAGUGAAGAAGGGUUUCGACUCGUAAAGCUCUGUUGUCGGGGACGAACGUGGAGACGGCGAAUAGCCGUUUCCAAUGACGGUACCUGACGAGGAAGCCACGGCUAACUACGUGCCAGCAGCCGCGGUAAUACGUAGGUGGCGAGCGUUGUCCGGAAUUAUUGGGCGUAAAGGGAGCGCAGGCGGGAAGGUAAGUCUAUCUUAAAAGUGCGGGGCUCAACCCCGUGAGGGGAUGGAAACUAUCUUUCUUGAGUGCAGGAGAGGAAAGCGGAAUUCCUAGUGUAGCGGUGAAAUGCGUAGAUAUUAGGAGGAACACCAGUGGCGAAGGCGGCUUUCUGGACUGUAACUGACGCUGAGGCUCGGAAGCAUGGGUAGCAAACAGGAUUAGAUACCCUGGUAGUCCAUGCCGUAAACGAUGAUUACUAGGUGUUGGGGGAUUGACCCCAUCAGUGCCGCAGUUAACACAAUAAGUAAUCCACCUGGGGAGUACGACCGCAAGGUUGAAACUCAAAGGAAUUGACGGGGGCCCGCACAAGCAGUGGAGUAUGUGGUUUAAUUCGAAGCAACGCGAAGAACCUUACCAGGUCUUGACAUCCGAUGCAUAGCACAGAGAUGUGUGAAAUCCUUCGGGACAUCGAGACAGGUGGUGCAUGGUUGUCGUCAGCUCGUGUCGUGAGAUGUUGGGUUAAGUCCCGCAACGAGCGCAACCCUUAUUGCCAGUUACUACGUUAAGAGGGCUCUGGCGAGACUGCCGUUGACAAAACGGAGGAAGGUGGGGAUGACGUCAAAUCAUCAUGCCCUUUAUGACCUGGGCUACACACGUACUACAAUGGCGUUAAACAAAGAGAAGCAAGACCGCGAGGUGGAGCAAAACUCAAAAACAACGUCUCAGUUCAGAUUGCAGGCUGCAACUCGCCUGCAUGAAGUCGGAAUUGCUAGUAAUCGCGGAUCAGCAUGCCGCGGUGAAUACGUUCCCGGGCCUUGUACACACCGCCCGUCACACCAUGAGAGCCGGGGGGACCCGAAGUCGAUAGUCUAACCGCAAGGAGGACGUCGCCGAAGGUAAAACUGGUGAUUGGGGUGAAGUCGUAACAAGGUA
rnacentral:rRNA from 1 species